rnacentral:rRNA from 1 species
CCCGCUGAACUUAAGCAUAUCAAUAAGCGGAGGAAAAGAAACUAACAAGGAUUCCCCUAGUAACGGCGAGUGAAGCGGGAUGAGCUCAAAUUUAAAAUCUGGUAGUCUUUGGCUGCCCGAGUUGUAAUCUAGAGAAGUGUUUUCCGCGCUGGACUGUGUACAAGUUUCCUGGAUAUGGAACAUCAUAGAGGGUGAGAAUCCCGUCCUUGACACAGACUCCCAGUGCUUUGUGAUGCGCUCUCAACGAGUCGAGUUGUUUGGGAUUGCAGCUCAAAAUGGGAGGUAAAUUCCUUCUAAAGCUAAAUAUUGGCGAGAGACCGAUAGCGAACAAGUACCGUGAGGGAAAGAUGAAAAGCACUUUGGAAAGAGAGUUAAACAGUACGUGAAAUUGUUAAAAGGGAAACGAUUGAAGUCAGUCGCGUCUACUUGGACUCAGCCUUACUUUGGUUUGGUGCAUUUCCUUGUGGACGGGCCAGUAGUCCAUGUCGAUUGCUGGAAAAGGUUCAGAGGAAUGUGACUCUUUUAGAGUGUUAUAGCCUCGGUUCAUAUACAGUGGUUGAUAUGGAGUGGGACAGCAUGCUUCGGUGGUGCUUGUGCUGGCAUAAUGGCUUUAAACGACCCGUCUUGAAACACGG